rnacentral:sRNA from 1 species
ACUCAACGUUAAUUCUUUAAAAAGGGUGAGUUUAAGUUGUAAAAGCAUGCUGCUAGUACUAAAUUUAUUUUAGUAACUCGAGCAGACCCUUGAUCAGCUUGUUAGCCCUAAACUUGUUUUUAAGGAGUUU